AUUGAGCGCUGGCGGCAUGCCUCACACAUGCAAGUCGAACGGUAACAGGUCUUCGGAUGCUGACGAGUGGCGAACGGGUGAGUAAUACAUCGGAACGUGCCUAGUAGUGGGGGAUAACUACUCGAAAGAGUGGCUAAUACCGCAUGAGAUCUACGGAUGAAAGCAGGGGAUCGCAAGACCUUGUGCUACUAGAGCGGCCGAUGGCAGAUUAGGUAGUUGGUGGGAUAAAAGCUUACCAAGCCGACGAUCUGUAGCUGGUCUGAGAGGACGAUCAGCCACACUGGGACUGAGACACGGCCCAGACUCCUACGGGAGGCAGCAGUGGGGAAUUUUGGACAAUGGGCGCAAGCCUGAUCCAGCAAUGCCGCGUGCAGGAUGAAGGCCUUCGGGUUGUAAACUGCUUUUGUACGGAACGAAAAGCCCUGGGUUAAUACCCUGGGGUCAUGACGGUACCGUAAGAAUAAGCACCGGCUAACUACGUGCCAGCCGCCGCAGUAACAC
rnacentral:rRNA from 1 species